rnacentral:rRNA from 1 species
UGCAGUCGAGCGGACAGAUGGGAGCUUGCUCCCUGAUGUUAGCGGCGGACGGGUGAGUAACACGUGGGUAACCUGCCUGUAAGACUGGGAUAACUCCGGGAAACCGGGGCUAAUACCGGAUGGUUGUUUGAACCGCAUGGUUCAAACAUAAAAGGUGGCUUCGGCUACCACUUACAGAUGGACCCGCGGCGCAUUACCUAGUUGGUGAGGUAAUGGCUCACCAUGGCAACGAUGCGUAACCGACCUGAAAGGGUGAUCGGCCACACUGGGACUGAGACACGGCCCAGACUCCUA